GACGAACGCUGGCGGCGUGCUUAACACAUGCAAGUCGAACGGGCCCGCUCUCUUUUUUGGGGGUGGAUUGAGUGGCGAACGGGUGAGUAUCACGUGAGUAACCUGCCCCCUGCUCCUGGAUAACUGCUUGAAAGGGCGGCUAAUACGGGGUGUGCCGGCUGGUCCGCAUGGGCCUGGUCGGGAUAGUUUCAUCUUCGGGUGUUUCGGUGGGGGAUGGGCUCGCGGCCUAUCAGCUUGUUGGUGGGGUGAUGGCCCACCAAGGCGGUGACGGGUAGCCGGCCUGAGAGGGUGGGCGGCCACACUGGGACUGAGACACGGCCCAGACUCCGGCGGGAGGCAGCAGUGGGGGGUAUUGCACAAUGGGCGGAAGCCUGAUGCAGCGACGUCGCGUGAGGGAUGGAGGCCGUCGGGUUGUGAACCUCUUUCUCCGGUGGUCAAGGCCCUGUCCGUUGCGGCGGGGUUGACGGUAGCCGGGUAUGAAGCGCCGGCUAACUACGUG
rnacentral:rRNA from 1 species